rnacentral:lncRNA from 1 species
ACCACCCUCGAGCACGAAACUCAUAGCAAGUAUGAUCGAAUCCUUAACUCAAAGGAUUGUAUGUUCAAUCUUGACUUUACACUAACUCUAGUGUUCUUUACAUCACUUUAUGUUGCUACUCUUAGCAAUCAUUGUUCUUUACCUUUCUUUACUUUUGCUAACUCUAGCAAUCAUGUUCUUUACUCUUUGCACGUUCUUU